GAUGAAUAACGUAGCGAAAUGCGAUAAGUAGUGUGAAUUGCAGAAUUCAGUGAAUCAUCGAAUCUUUGAACGCACAUUGCGCCCCUUGGUAUUCCAUGGGGCAUGCCUGUUCGAGCGUCAUUUGUACCUUCAAGCUCUGCUUGGUGUUGGGUGUUUGUCUCGCCUCUGCGUGUAGACUCGCCUCAAAACAAUUGGCAGCCGGCGUAUUGAUUUCGGAGCGCAGUACAUCUCGCGCUUUGCACUCAUAACGACGACGUCCAAAAGUACAUUUUUACACUCUUGACCUCGGAUCAUGUAGGGAUACCCGCUGAACUUAAGCAUAUCAAUAAGCGGAGGA
rnacentral:misc_RNA from 1 species